rnacentral:rRNA from 1 species
GAAGCGGCAACAGCUCAAAUUUGAAAUCUGGCGCAAGCCCGAGUUGUAAUUUGUAGAGGAUGCUUCAGGGCAGCGGCCGGUCUAAGUUCCUUGGAACAGGACGUCAUAGAGGGUGAGAAUCCCGUAUGCGACCGGUUGGCACCCGUCACGUAGCUCCUUCGACGAGUCGAGUUGUUUGGGAAUGCAGCUCUAAAUGGGAGGUAAAUUUCUUCUAAAGCUAAAUACCGGCCAGAGACCGAUAGCGCACAAGUAGAGUGAUCGAAAGAUGAAAAGCACUUUGGAAAGAGAGUUAAAAAGCACGUGAAAUUGUUGAAAGGGAAGCGCAUGCAACCAGACUUGUCGGCGGUGUUCCGCCGGUCUUCUGACCGGUCUACUCGCCGCCGGCAGGCCAGCAUCAUCUGGGCGCGCCGGACAAAGGCGCGGGGAAUGUGGCUCCUCGGAGUGUUAUAGCCCCGCGCACAAUACGGCGCCGCUCGGGUGAGGUCCGCGCUUCGGCUAGGAUGCUGGCGUAAUGGUUGUCUGCGGCCCGUCUUGAAACACGGACCAAGGAGUCUAACAUCUAUGCGAGUGUUCGGGUGUCAAACCCCUACGCGGAAUGAAAGUGAACGGAGGUGGGAAGCGCAAGCUGCACCAUCGACCGAUCCUGAUGUCUUCGGAUGGAUUUGAGUAAGAGCAUAGCUGUUGGGACCCGAAAGAUGGUGAACUAUGCCUGAAUAGGGUGAAGCCAGAGGAAACUCUGGUGGA